CAUCCCAUCAUUUAAAUCAAAGCCAUUAACCCUAUUUGUUAGGGUUUCAUUUGGCAAGCGGUUGUCGAACCACCAUUUUAUUUGGUGACCGACAGUUCUCAGGUUAGAUCUGGUACACGCCCACGGAGGUAAGCUUUCCAUUUUCUUUUUCUUCUUAAAAAAACUCAAGUCAUGCAUUACUCCUUUUAAGAAACAAAGCAUAAAUUCAAAAGAAUCAAAACCGACCCUCACCCGAAUCUUUAUAUUUUCGAGAUACUUGGGUGUUUAUCGGUGUCGUUUCACAUACUAAAACGAGCCAAACGAAAAGAAAAUAAAGAGACCGAAAAGAAAAACUUUGAAAUCACCUUUGCUAUUUCGAUUGCUUUUUCUCUAUUCUGUGUGCGUAUAUUUUCAUAAAAAAGAUCAAUACAUUCUUUUUUGGCUUUAUAGCCGAAAUCUAAAAGAAAAAAAAUAAAUAUAAAAAUACAAUAUUUUUUUCUUGUUUUUUGCUGUUGUGUUUGUCUCGUUUGUUUGCAGGUACUGGGUACGGGGCGUGUGCUGGCACUUGGCGUGAGGUGUACAGAGGCGCGCGUGGCGGCAUGGAGGGUACGGAGCCAGGCCUUGGGCUCACGGAGGCCGUACAUGAAGGUGUUGGCUGCGACGCACCUAAGAAACCUAGGGUUUUUGUUGCUAAGGAAUUUUGGGGCGGUUAGGCCUUGAACCUUUAGGUCUAGAUUUGGGCUUGUAGUAGGUUUGGGCUAGGGUAUUAAUUUGGGUAUUGGGUUAGUGAUUUGAAUUUAAUGUUUAGGUUUGGUUUGGUUUAAGCUUGAAUAUUUGUAAACGAACAUUGGACUUUUGGUUUUUUUUAAUUUAUGUUUCUGGGUUUAUUGCAGGCCGGGCAAAAAUGGGACAUUACACCACUUAUUUUGGCUUGUUCUGGUUGCCUAAUUAUGGCUUGUUGAUAUGCAUAAUGUUGAUUGUAGGUUGACACAAAAUUGGGUGAGAAAUAUGGCUUGUAAAAUGGCCUAUUUUCAUCCAUGCGGCCUAAGACACGGGCGUGUCUCAUGGUUGUGUGAGUCACAUAGCCUGGCCACACAGCCGUGUGACCCCUGCAGUGUUGAAAAUUUUAAAUAUUUUUGAAAAUUUUUUUGAGUUUUCGAUUUAGUCCCGAUUUAUUUAUAAUGUGUAAUUUGGGCCUCGAGGGCUCGUUUAAGGGGCAAUAUGUAUGAUUUUGAUUGGUUUUUGACAUGAAUUCUAUGUGAUAUGAAUUGUGUGCAUUUUCUGUUUGUUUGAUUUGUAAACUCCAGUAAUACUCCGUAACUCUGUUCUGGUGACCAAUUCGAGUUAGGGGUGUUACACUAAAAAUG
rnacentral:lncRNA from 1 species